GAAUGACGCCAUCUAUAAUAUUAAGUGGAGCUUUGUUGAAGUUUAUUUCUAACCUAACUAAAACGCAUGAUCGGACCUUGAGAUAUAAACGUGUAAAAUUAUAAAGAAUAAAAUAGUUGGAAUAAGGAAAUGAGUGAUGUCGAAUUACAAGAGGAAGAAAGAGAAGUGCUACUUUCUAUUUAUGAGGGUGAUCCAGCAUUUAAUCAGUUAACACCGACUACCUUCCAAUACAAGUAUGGAGAAGAUAAUGACAUGAAGUCAUUCCUAUUGGAAAUUUCAUGGAGUGCGACAUAUCCAUCUGAAAGGCCAAACAUCAAUAUGAAUACAUUUUACAAUAAGCACAUUGUGCAAGAAGUAAAGGAUGAAUUAGUGAAACAAUUAGAAGCAGAAGCAGAUCAAUGGUUAGGUAGUGCCAUGACAUAUACGUUGUUCCAGUAUGUUCAAGAGCAUCUUACAGAAUUAUUAUCUAUGCAACCAGAUUCUAUUGCAGAAAUAAAUUCACAAACCAGUAAACUUAAAAUAUCAAAUGAGAAUCAACAGGCGGAAGAAGCUGUAAAAAGGCCAAAGAAAGAACAACUAAGCAAAGCUCAAAAACGUAGACAAUGGAAUAAAGCAGAUGGAAAAGGAGAGAGACCACGAGGGUGGGAUUGGGUCGAUAUAGUGAAACAUUUAUCACAAACUGGUCCAAAACAGGAACAAGAGUCUUAGUUCAAAUUUUCUAAGACUACUGUACAGAUUUAAAAAAAGGUUUCCCCAAAAGGAAAACAGAUUCUUUUUUAUUAAUUUCUGCCGCAUCAAGAACGGUUUCAUGAAUAAGAUAAUAUUUAACUAACAAAGCAAGACGAUCUUCAUUUAAUGUGUUUAACCGUAAAGCUUUAACUGCUGAAUAAUUGGCAUAUAAAUGCACUGCCACCAAGAAGACAUAUAAUUCUAAUAAAUAUCUGUAAAGAAAAAAUUCAUACAAGACAGUAAUAAAUAAUUUGUAGAAGAGUAAAUCAAAUAAAAUUACCGUCCAUCAUAAAUGUACGACAGUAUGAAAAUUCCAACAAAAGAUGCAACAAGAUUAACACAGGUUUCUUGACUUCCAUCUUUAGCUGAUACAUCUGCCAAAUUGUUUUGAAACCUGAUGUUGCGUUAAUGCAGCUCUGGUUGCACCACCGGCUACACCAACAAUAGACUUCAUUGCGGUUGAAGCACACAAUAUGGCCAUUGAAUGAGCUGAGAAAUAAGGUAUUAGUAAUUCCAUGCCCAUUGCCACAUCAUUAAGAAUAUCCGCAAACAAUCUCCAUUUUUUACAUUGUCCAUCUAGGUCAGUCCUAAUAGAUCAGAAUGUUUAUAAUAGAAAGAACAAGUUACAUCGUAGAUUGAUAAUAUUUAAGAUUUGUCAUGUUGACAUCGAUUACAAGAUAAAACUUAUUAACAGUUUUUAUGAGCGGUUCACAUAGUAAAACAUUUAUAUAGCUUACCCGUUCCACCAUGCAAAAAUUAUGCGCCCGACCAUACCAGUUCCAUCUUUUAAAAUCCAAGUUAUUGCUGCAGCUAAAGGUGUCGCAGUAGAUUCUCCAACACCUACUCCUUGCAUAAUUGAAUGAGUUGUGAGAGUACCCAUUAUGGUACUUGCAAAUGCCUAUUACAUUAUUACAAUUUUUCUUAAAUUAAAUUCUAUUUUUUUUAACAUAUAACGACAAAUAGAACUCGUUCGCUCGUCUAUUCUUUUACAUAAGAAUUCUAACCUGCACUGUAUCCCAUAUUUGAUAAGGAAUGUAAUCAGGAUGAACACUGUCAGGAAAUCCUUGAGGUAAAAAAACGUCUUUGAUAAUCGACAAAAUUCCAGAUAAUAAGGACUUUGCAUUUUUCGAGCCAGUUUGUAAAUUAAUUAUCGACGAGCGAUCUAACCUCAUAACGACAAUUAUAUAUUAGAGAUAUGAUAAAUGUUAUUUAUUAAAGAUAUUUUUAAUAAAAAAAAGUAAUUCACCUUUUGAUCUAACAUAUAUAUUAUCUUCCUCGUUGCCAUAUAUUUCACUAAAUAAAAUUUGGUCCUGCAUUGCUAAUAAAAAAAUAACAUUUAUCGGUAUUCACGAGUUUACGUUUGCAAGCACGUUUUUAUAAAAUAGUAGAUGUUUAUUCGUUAUUAAAUUAUUUAUUAUUA